UAGGAACUUCAUUGUAAUUUACCUUUUUAUGAUUGGUGUUAAAAUAAUUCCUUAUAUUUUUUGCUUGAUAUAAGUGGAGUCGUAGUUACCACAUUUACCUACCGCAUUGGGUUUUGUGAUCUAGGUUGCGCAUUCUAAUUCGCAGAACGUUACAUCUCAAAUCUCUUGGGUGCACCUUUUGACCCUUUUGAUUUCUGUGUAUUCAUAUGUCUUUUGGGCAAGCUAACUUUAUAAACCAGCAUUUUCUCAUCUGUCAUAAUUUUUUUUUUAUGAGUUCUUGCAUAAUAACAAG
rnacentral:misc_RNA from 1 species